rnacentral:lncRNA from 1 species
ACGUGAGCCGCGCUCCUCCCAGUGCCCGGGACGGUGUCGGGGGCGGGCUGCACGGCGAGAAGGGCAAAAUAAAACCAGCCCGAGAGGCCCUGGCUGGGGUUGAGACUGCAGGAGUAACUUCUGCACCGAGGCAGCGCGCAGCCAGUCGGGGAAGAACUCUGCAACCUGACCGAAAGAAAGUCCGACCCUCUCGGGAGGGCUGCCAGGAUGCUGGAGCGAGUGUCAGGGUCCGAGACUCCCAAGUCGGGCGAGGGCUCCUGCCCCUGGCCAUUGGGUACCCCCCUCCGACCAACACCCCCGUCCCGCUUCAGAGCGUCGGCCCCACAGACCUAGAUGGGCAAGAUACCAAAUACUUUUCUUGGAAUACAUCAUCUUGAUUGAAAACUACUAGGAUAUUUUUGAAAAAAUAGCUCAUUAGCUGGCUGGGGAGAGAAACUUUUAAUUGCCAUUGGAUGGAGAUGGACUCCUCGGCUGGAGGAGGGGAAGGCACCAUGCAUGCGUGGCAGGGAAUGCUGGCCAGCCAGCCAAGCGGGGACUUGGGCCAUGCGCCAUAGCCCCAGACCACCACACAGGAGCUGAAGAGGACAGGCUUCUCCCUGCAUAAAGAGUGAAUUCCUGGUGUCUCCACCCUGUUCUCCCAGUGUACAUACAGGCACUGUUCUAGGCAUUGAAGAUACAGAAGUAACCUAAAUGGAUAUUAACUUUUCUCAUGGUGUUCCGGUGUGGGAAGACAGACAAUAAUAAUACAAAAGAGUGAAUAUGUGUCAGAGUGUGAAGAGAGUUUUGGAGAAAAAAGACAGAGUUGGUAGAUAGUACUGGGGUUGCUAUUUUAGACAGGAUGAUCAGGAAAAAUCUCUUUAAUUUGGUGAAAAUUAAGCAAACACCAAAAUGCAAUGAGGUGGCUAUGUUGGGGAAAAUGUAAAUUACAAUUUAUAAAAUGCAUUACAAAGUGUAUUAUUUUAUUUGAGUUCUACAACAACUGUAGGAAGCUAGAUAUAUAUUAUUAUCAUUCUUAAUCUUGUGGAAACUACAGUUAAGAGAGGGCAAGGGAGUUGAAGUUACCUGCCUAGUAGAGAGGGGUGUUAUAUUUAAUCCAAGUCAAAUAUUACUAGUUCAGCAACAGGUCUUGACAAAAUUGCUUACUUUCUCUAAGCCUCAGUCACCUAAUUAUUAAGAUGGGGAUAAUAGUAAUAGUGACCCCAUAGAGUUGUGACAAUUGUAAGAUGAUCUGUAUAAAUCAAUUUAGUGUUUGGCAUAGGCGUCUGACAAGCCUUGACUCUAGAUCAGGGGUCAGCAAACUAUUGCCCUCAGGCCAUAGCCGGUCUGCUGUCUGUUUUUGUAAAACAUGCGAGCUAAGAAUGGUUUUUACAUUUUAAAUGGUUGGAAAA